GACGAACGCUGGCGGCGUGCCUAAUACAUGCAAGUAGAACGCACAGUUUAUACCGUAGCUUGCUACACCAUAGACUGUGAGUUGCGAACGGGUGAAUAACGCGUAGGUAACCUGCCUGGUAGCGGGGGAUAACUAUUGGAAACGAUAGCUAAUACCGCAUAAUAUUAAUUAUUGCAUGAUAAUUAAUUGAAAGGUUCAAUUGCACCACUACCAGAUGGACCUGCGUUGUAUUAGCUAGUAGGUGAGGUAACGGCUCACCUAGGCGACGAUACAUAGCCGACCUGGAAGGGUGGUCCGCCAAACUGGGACUGAGAACAGGCCCAGGAUCCUACGGGGGGCAGCAGUAGGGAAUUUUCCGCAAUGGACGAAAGUCUGACCGAGCAACGCCGCGUGAGUGAAGAAGGUUUUCGGAUCGUAAAGCUCUGUUGUAAGGGAAGAACGGGUGUGAGAGUGGAAAGUUCACGCUGUGACGGUAUCUUACCAGAAAGGGACGGCUAACUACGUG
rnacentral:rRNA from 1 species